UUUUAAAAAACCCAAAUCAAUUUUUACAUUAUGCAAGAUAGAAAAUGUGUAUUUCUUGAAGUGUUCAUGUGAGGACUGGUGCGAGCCUUCUUGACCACUAGUCUACAAUUCUCCACUAUGGAAAGCUAAGGCAAAGAAAGCAAUUUGCGCACCAAAGGAGGGUUACAGGGAAGUUGGGAGAGUGGAAAUUCCUGAGAAGGCUUCCUUGUUGCUUCAUCCUUUCUGGAGGAUGACUGGGCAACCACCAAGAGAUAUUUGCUUGGUGAUUCCUGCUGGGUCAAGCAUCUGCCUUACCCCCUAAAGCUUCAGAAACUCAGAGAAGACAACUCGAAUGCCAAAGACAAGAAAACUAAGCAGGAGCUGCAGGGACGCCAUGCACGCACAUCGCUGAGCCGAGAAGAGGCGGCAGGCUGUGCCGGCUUUAUCCUGCAUGUUAUGGCCCAGAAACCCGCACAAUGGACCUGCCUAAAUGGAAAUACAAGCAGAUGCGUCGCAGGGAUGACAAGUAUCACAGAACUUGGGGUGGGGCUCGCCUCUGGAGAAAGUGAGGAAAGGUUCUGAUCGACAGGACUGACUGAAUGUCCAAUCACAGUAUGUCCGUCCCAUCUCUGCUAACAAUUGGUCCAGCUCCAUAGAGCCCUCUGCUCCUCUCCGCUUUCUGCUCUCGGGAGACAUCCAGAUCCAGCAAGGUUUUCAAGGCCGUUUUCUAUGCUUGUGAUCUGAAGAAGAACCUGCUCUUUUUUAUGAUUCUGUUUCAAAGACGGCUAAUAAAAAAAUGUCGAAGGGCAAGAAGAAAAAUGACUUAACAGCUCACACCAGAGAUCACACGUAUAUUACUGAGCUUGGCAUAGCCAUAGCACAAGGUAUGGACAUUUAGAAACAUUAUGCUACACGGUUUAUACCUUAAAAAGUACACCAUCGUUACAUGUUCAUUAAAAUAAAAAUCAAUAUCAUUUAGUACCCCUCUCCUGAAAGAACACAGACAUAGCUGUCCUGGGGCGGGCAUGUCCCAGAGAGUUGAGAGUGGGAGUUGAUGUGACUGUACAACGUGACGCUCUAUCAAACAAAAAUAAAUCUUCAUUCACACUCCCAUAAAAUAAAGCCUUAAAAUCAAUUUACCUCAGUCAGAAGAAAAAGGAAGGAUGACCAAAUCAUCCCAAAAGAUCUGUGGCUUCUAGCAGUAGAAGGCACAGCGUGGCUGUGGUCCAGCCGGACCUCUCUCCAGAUGACCUCGGGCCUACAACAGCAUCUUUGCCUGACUGCAUCCCGCAACGGUCCAAAUGGUACCGGGGUUUUGGAUAAGGGGUGUGGAGGGAGAGAAGUGGGGUGGGGAAAACUGAAGAGGAUCUGCUACAGAGAUGAACAUUGAGAGCUGACAGCUGCCAAACACACUGUGUCCCUGGCAACACCUGUUGAGUGUCCAUGGUGGCAGAGAGAGUCAGACGAAGAAAGACAGCUGUACACACGCCAACAGCAGCAGGGUGCUGCUCUGGACUCGCGCUCUGCCAGCCGAGGAGGUGCCAAACUCGCUGGCCCGGGUUCAGAUGGCUGUGUGUCCACUUGGUGUGCCAGCCAGCCAGCCAGCCCAGGAAUACAUUUGCAUUAACACCCCUUGGCCACCUCCCCCUGUUCCUCCCUCCCGUGCUGCACACAGCCUUGGCCUUCCUCACUGGAUGUCAUCUUCAGACUGCCUUUCAGAACCAGUGUUUCAGCGGAACAUGAGAUUCGCAGCUUCAGAGUAAGAAAAUAUUAUCUGAGCAAAUAUUUAAGCAGAAUUCUCUACGCUGCACUGGUUCAUUAAAGAAGAGUUUUCCGUCAGUUUGUUCUGGAGUAAAGUGAAAUGCCCGAAAUAAACACACUCUCUAGAUUCCCUCAGGACGUUCUGCCCCAGGAGGAAGACAGGCUUCUCAAGAAGAAAGGCUGGAAGAUGGUACUUUUUUAUCUCUGUCUCCUAUCUCGCCACAUUGCUUCGGGGAUUCCAAGUAUUGAACUCAAACCAUCAGGUUUCCCUGCAUCAAGCACUUUUCUGCCCUGAGCCUUGUUGCCUACCCCCGUUUGACUUCUGAUAGAGGAUCCGCACCAAAUCUGGUCCAGGAAAACAUUUCUUGGUAAGUCACGUUGAAACAUGAUAUCCGGAUGACUGUCACCUCAGUCUUCCAUCACACCACAUAGCACAGUCAGGGUAGACUGAUGGCUAAGUACACUUAGAACUUUGAGGUGCACUUUCAGUGUUUUAUUUACAAUUAUUAAUAUGUGACAUGGAUGGGCACAAGUGCCACGGUGUGCAUGUAGCAUCCAGAGGACAACUUUAUUCGUUCCUUCUUUCCUUCCUCCUCUAUGCAGUCCCCAGGCAUCACUCUCAGGUGGCCAGGGUGCUGUGACACCUUUACCUGCUAAACUCAAGCUUUAAGAUAUUUUUAAAAGUGUAGUAUUAUAUUCCUGAAAGCGGAAUAUGAAGAAAAGUUUCUCAGAGGAUGCAGAAAACAUAAACAACAGGAAAGAAAAAAUAUUUGACUGUAUUAAAAUCUAAAACUCCUAUUAAUCAAAAAGACAUUGUAAGAAAAGGAAUAGGAGGAGACAGGUGGCAGUGGUGAAAAAUUUGAAUCCCAGCACUCGGGAAAC
rnacentral:sRNA from 1 species